UCUUAAAGCUGUUCUCAGUUCGGACUGCAGUCUGCAACUCGACUGCACGAAGCUGGAAUCGCUAGUAAUCGCGGAUCAGCACGCCGCGGUGAAUACGUUCCCGGGCCUUGUACACACCGCCCGUCACACCAUGGAAGUCUGCAAUGCCCGAAGCCGGUGGCCUAACCACUUAUGUGGAAGGAGCCGUCUAAGGCAGGGCAGAUGACUGGGGUGAAGUCGUAACAAGGUAUC
rnacentral:rRNA from 1 species